rnacentral:lncRNA from 1 species
GAUAGCUAAUGGGUACGAACAAAAUAGUUAGAAAGAAUGAAUAAGACCUAGUAUUUGCUAGCACAACAGGGUGACUAUAGUAAAAAAUAAUUGCACAUUUAAAAAUACCUUAAAGAAUAUAAUUGGGUUGUUUGCAACACAAAUGAUGAAUGCUUGAGGUGACAGAUACCCCAUUUACCCUGAUGUGAUUAUUACACAUUGCAUGUCUGUAUCAAAAUAUCUCAUGUACUCCAUGAAUAUAUACGCAUACUUUGUACCCACAACUUAAAAAAAAUGUUUUUAACGCAUUCACAAUACAUUAAGAUUUUGGAAACUGGCUUGGUCUUUCUCUGUUCCAUAACAGAAAAAGAAACUGCAAUUCAUUCACAUUUCCACCACUGACAGGGAACUUACAAAGUAUUCCAUGGAAAUAGGAAAUAGGGAUAACAUAAUAACUUCAAUCCACAAAUAACUCCCAAUCCAAUGUUAGCUAAUAAUUCCAACCCCUAUUCACCCUUCUGUGUAUCAGAGCUGCCUUAAUGAAGAGAGAAGAGGUGACAGAUUGAGCUGCAUCUCCUUGGAUUUCCUUGGCAUCACUUGAACAUGCAAGGGCCGAAAGAAAGGAAGGAAAGGCAGAGAAAACAAAAGCUCAGCUGGAAGAGACUGAAAUGGAGGCACCUACUUUCAAGCCCAGACUUUAAGAGAGAACACUUCCAGAAGCCGACUUGGCCUUGAAAUUCUGACUCAUUUAUAAGACCAUGUGUUACAAAUCACAGCUUUCGGUUCGAUACUUGGCAGACCAAGGCAGAUGUUUGGCUGGAAAAAUUGCUGUUACCUGAAGUUGUGUGUUAGCAAAGAAAGCACCUAUCCAUAUGGGAUGACUGUCUCUUUGACAUCAAGCUUGAAUUCCUAUGAGUUGGAUGUCGGACCUGCUAGAACAGGAGUAAGCAAGUUUUUUGGUAACGGGCCGGACAGUAAACGUUUUAGGUUUGAAAGUCAGUUUGCAUCCCCAGAGAGCACAGCAAGGGAGAAAAGGUCUUCAUAGUAGGUAUCAAUCUAUGAUUUUAAAUUUUCCGUCCACAGAUGCAUAAUGGAGUAUAGCUCACAUCAAAAAUCUCCAAGCUUUCUCUUUAAUAGACUAGUACAAGCUAUUUUUCAUUUUCAUAAAAUAAUGCAUUACUCUUCUAGAAAGACAAAAAAUACAGAUAAGCAAUAAUGAUAAUCACCUAAAAUAUUGUCCCUGUUUAUACAAUUUGGUGUUUUUGCAUUCACAAUUUUUUUCAUACAUAUAAAUUUAUUUAUUUGUUUAUUUAUUUAUAGAGACAGAAUCUCACUGUGUCACUCAGGCUGGAAUGCAGUGGCACCAUCAUGGCUCACUGCAGCCUCAAACUCAUGGGCUCAAGCAAUCCUCCCACCUCAGCCUCUUGAGCAGGUAGGACUAUAGGCAGG